GGAAGAAAAUUUGAGAGUGGAUGACAAAGAAGUUAUUGAAAUUACAUACUUUAGCAAGUUAGAAGUGCUGGCCAUGAAUGAGGGGAAAGCCUGGAUGUAGGCAUCAAGAUAUUUUAGAAGAUGCUUAGUCAUUGGAUACAUGAUGAGAUUGUCCUGUGGGUGCUUUGGAAAAUUCUGGUCUCAGUACAGCUUGACAUAUGUCAGUCAGAAACAGAAAGCCUGCCAUCAAUUGAAGAUAAAAUGAAAUACAGAAUUCAUGAGAUUAGACUACAGACAACACAGAGAGAUGACCAUGGGGAAUACAGUGAGCAGGCCAUCUGCAAGCCAAGGAAAGAAACCUCUGAAUAAAACCAAACUACUGAACACUUGUUCUUGGAUUUCUACCUUCUAGAACUAUUGGAUCACAAGCAAGUGGGGAAGAGAACAAGAACUCUGAAUUGCCAACAGUUUAUUACCUAGUCUGUCUUUAUAAUGGAAAAGGGAUCAUCUCCAGAAAAAAAGAAGAUAUUGUGUUUGCUUUCAAACAAUCAUAAAAGGUCAGUGUGAUGUCUAUGUGAAUGGAAUGACCAUAUGAGAAAAAGCCCAAUGUACAGAGGAAAGUCAAUAAAUUUGCACAAUAAUCUAUACUUUUCAUUUUAUUAUGCCCACUUUUUCGAAGUUACCUGAGGGCAGGAAGUGUCUUUCUUGUUUAUGGCUUCGUCAAUAAUAUUGAACUGUCUUGUGUGGGACAAAUGUAGCAGUCAAUCGAUUGUAUUGAAUAAACCAAGUAAUACAUGGUUAUAAACAGUCACAGAUUUCUUCCUCUCUCUCUUUUGCUUAAGAAACUGGUUUAUAAA